rnacentral:rRNA from 1 species
CCUACGGAGCGCAGCAGUGGGGAAUAUUGGACAAUGGGGGCAACCCUGAUCCAGCCAUGCCGCGUGUGUGAAGAAGGCCCUCGGGUUGUAAAGCACUUUCAGUGAGGAAGAACGCCUGGUGGUUAAUACCCAUCAGGAAAGACAUCACUCACAGAAGAAGCACCGGCUAACUCCGUGCCAGCAGCCGCGGUAAUACGGAGGGUGCGAGCGUUAAUCGGAAUUACUGGGCGUAAAGCGCGCGUAGGUGGCUUGAUAAGCCGGUUGUGAAAGCCCCGGGCUCAACCUGGGAACGGCAUCCGGAACUGUCAAGCUAGAGUGCAGGAGAGGAAGGUAGAAUUCCCGGUGUAGCGGUGAAAUGCGUAGAGAUCGGGAGGAAUACCAGUGGCGAAGGCGGCCUUCUGGACUGACACUGACACUGAGGUGCGAAAGCGUGGGUAGCAAACAGGAUUAGAUACCCCAGUAGUC